rnacentral:rRNA from 1 species
CCUACGGGAGGCAGCAGUGGGGAAUAUUGCACAAUGGGGGAAACCCUGAUGCAGCGACGCCGCGUGAGUGAAGAAGUAAUUCGUUAUGUAAAGCUCUAUCAGCAGGGCAGAAAAUGACGUUACCGUAGUAAGAAGCCCCGGCUAACUACGUGCCAGCAGCCGCGGUAAUCCGUAGGGGGCAAGCGUUAUCCGGAUUUACUGGGUGUAAAGGGAGCGUAGGCGGCAGUCCAAGUCUGGAGUGAAAGGCGGGGGCUCAACCACCGGACUGCUCUGGAAACUGUACGGCUGGAGUGCAGGAGAGGUAAGUGGAAUUCCUAGUGUAGCGGUGAAAUGCGUAGAUAUUAGGAGGAACACCAGUGGCGAAGGCGGCUUACUGGACUGUAACUGACGUUGAGGCUCGAAAGCGUGGGGAGCAAACAGGAUUAGAUACCCUAGUAGUC